GACGAACGCUGGCGGCGUGCUUAACACAUGCAAGUCGAACGGUAAGGCCUUGCUUUUGUGGGGUGCUCGAGUGGCGAAAGCGUGUGUAUCACGUGAGUAACCUCCCCUUUACUUUGGGAUAACUUCAUGAAACUGGGGCUCUUACCGGAUAUGAGCUCCUUCUGCAUGGUGGGGGUUGUAAAGUUUCGGCGUUUGGGGAUGGACUCGCGGCCUAUCAGCUUGUUGGUGGGGUAGUGGCUUACCAAGGCGUUGACGGGUAGCCGGCCUGAGAGGGUGACCGGCCACAUUGGGACUGAGAUACGGGCCGGACUCCUACGGGAGGCAGGAGUGGGGAAUAUUGCAAGAUGGGCGGAAGCAGGAAGCAGCAACGCCGCGUGCGGGAUGACGGCCGUCGGGUUGGAAACCGCUUUCGCCUGUGAAGAAGAGUGAGUGACGGUAAUGGGUAAAGAAGCACCGGCUAACUACGUG
rnacentral:rRNA from 1 species